rnacentral:rRNA from 1 species
CCCUUAGAUGUUCUGGGCCGCACACGCGCUACACUGAAGGAGGCAGCGUGUACUCCUGGAUCGAAAGAUUUGGGUAACCCGCGAAUCUCCUUCGUGCUAGGGAUUGAGGUUUGCAAUUAUCCUUCAUGAACGAGGAAUUCCCAGUAAGUGCAAGUCAUAAGCUUGCGCUGACUACGUCCCUGCCCUUUGUACACACCGCCCGUCGCUACUACCGAUUGAAUGAUUUAGUGAGGACUUCGGACUGGGACCGAUGCGGCUUUCGGGCUGCGUCGGUAUUCUGGAAGGAUGUCCAAACUGUAUCAUUUAGAGGAAGUAAAAGUCGUAACA